rnacentral:rRNA from 1 species
ACAUGCUGUGAGCUCGAUGAGUAGGGCGGGACACGUGGUAUCCUGUCUGAAUAUGGGGGGACCAUCCUCCAAGGCUAAAUACUCCUGACUGACCGAUAGUGAACCAGUACCGUGAGGGAAAGGCGAAAAGAACCCCGGCGAGGGGAGUGAAAAAGAACCUGAAACCGUGUACGUACAAGCAGUGGGAGCCUCUUUAUGGGGUGACUGCGUACCUUUUGUAUAAUGGGUCAGCGACUUAUAUUCUGUAGCAAGGUUAACCGAAUAGGGGAGCCGAAGGGAAACCGAGUCUUAACUGGGCGUUAAGUUGCAGGGUAUAGACCCGAAACCCGGUGAUCUAGCCAUGGGCAGGUUGAAGGUUGGGUAACACUAACUGGAGGACCGAACCGACUAAUGUUGAAAAAUUAGCGGAUGACUUGUGGCUGGGGGUGAAAGGCCAAUCAAACCGGGAGAUAGCUGGUUCUCCCCGAAAGCUAUUUAGGUAGCGCCUCGUGAAUUCAUCUCCGGGGGUAGAGCACUGUUUCGGCAAGGGGGUCAUCCCGACUUACCAACCCGAUGCAAACUGCGAAUACCGGAGAAUGUUAUCACGGGAGACACACGGCGGGUGCUAACGUCCGUCGUGAAGAGGGAAACAACCCAGACCGCCAGCUAAGGUCCCAAAGUCAUGGUUAAGUGGGAAACGAUGUGGGAAGGCCCAGACAGCCAGGAUGUUGGCUUAGAAGCAGCCAUCAUUUAAAGAAAGCGUAAUAGCUCACUGGUCGAGUCGGCCUGCGCGGAAGAUGUAACGGGGCUAAACCAUG